AUUUUUGGUGAACCCCCAUGUAGUGCCCAAAGUGUCAGGUUCUGUGGUGGGAUCAAUCACAUGGUCGGACCACGCUGAGAUCACACUGACCUUAGAUAAAUUGUGCACAUCAUCCCCGUGGUCGUGGAAGUUGAAUACUUCCUUACUUCAGGAUCCGGCCGUGGUUGAGACGGUUCGGGGGGAAUUGACAGAGUACUUUUCAAGAAAU